UUUCCUACGGGGGGCAGCAGUGGGGGAUAUUGGACAAUGGGGGAAACCCUGAUCCAGCGAUGCCGCGUGAGGGAAGAAGGUUUUCGGAUUGUAAACCUCUGUGGAGGGGGACGAUAAUGACGGUACCUGAAGAAAAAGCUCCGGCUAACUACGUGCCAGCAGCCGCGGUAAUACGUAGGGAGCGAGCGUUGUCCGGAAUUACUGGGUGUAAAGGGAGCGUAGGCGGGACGGCAAGUCAGAUGUGAAAACUGAGGGCUCAACCUUCAGACCGCCUUUGAAACUGCUGUUCUUGAGUGAAGUAGAGG
rnacentral:rRNA from 1 species